CCCUACUAUGCUAAGCCGUUAAUUGACAGCACACAAAACAGCCUGUCCGCCAGAGAACUACGAGCGAAAAGCUUAAAACUCAAAGGACUUGGCGGUGCCCCAAAACGUCCUAGAGGAGCCUGUCCUAUAACCCGAUACUACACGAUUAACCCAACCGCCCGUUGCAAAUUCAGCCUAUAUACCGCCGUCGUCAGUCCACCUUAUGAAAGCAACUAAGUGGACAAAAUAGCCAAACACUAACACGUCAGGUCGAGGUGUAGCUAAUCGGGCGGAAGAGAUGGGCUACAUUUUCCUACCAGGAACACACGAACAGCAGAAUGAAAUAUCUGCUAGAAGGCGGAUUUAGCAGUAAAAUAAGUAACCACACUUAUUUUAAGCCACGCUCUGGGGCGCGCACACACCGCCCGUCACCCUCUUCAACUAACGCAGAGCCCUGUAAAUAACCAGCCUGCACACCCAAAAGAAGAGAUAAGUCGUA
rnacentral:rRNA from 1 species